AGUGAACGCUGGCGGUAGGCCUAACACAUGCAAGUCGAACGGCAGCACAGUAAGAGCUUGCUCUUACGGGUGGCGAGUGGCGGACGGGUGAGGAAUACAUCGGACUCUACUUUUUCGUGGGGGUUAACGUAGGGAAACUUACGCUAAUACCGCAUACGAUCUACGGGUGAAAGCAGGGGAUCUUCGGACCUUGCGCGAUUGAAUGAGCCGAUGUCGGAUUAGCUAGUUGGCGGGGUAAAGGCCCACCAAGGCGACGAUCCGUAGCUCGUGUGAGAGGAUGAUCAGCCACACUGGAACUGAGACACGGUCCAGACUCCUACGGGAGGCAGCAGUGGGGAAUAUUGGACAAUGGGCGCAAGCCUGAUCCAGCCAUACCGCGUGGGUGAAGAAGGCCUUCGGGUUGGAAAGCCCUUUUGUUGGGAAAGAAAAGCAGCAGGUUAAUACCACGCUGUUCUGACGGUACCCAAAGAAUAAGCACCGGCUAACUUCGUG
rnacentral:rRNA from 1 species